AACAAGGCGUACCUGCGGACCUGCGGAGGGAUCAUCAUUGAAAACAAAUUUGGACAAGGGGAUUGUGAUUGACGGGGGAGGGGAAGGUUUUAUUUCCUGAGCCUUGAGAGAACAACCUCUUGGACAAGCAACCAAUCUUCAUGACUAGGAAAAAACACAGUAAAGUAAACCAGUGGUUUGGGGGGGGGCAUAAACAACAAACAAGUUCUUGUCUGACAAGUAGUGUUUGGUGAUACUGAU
rnacentral:misc_RNA from 1 species